rnacentral:rRNA from 1 species
CGGCGGACGGGUGAGUAACGCGUGGGUAACCUGCCUCAUACAGGGGGAUAACAGUUAGAAAUGGCUGCUAAUACCGCAUAAGACCACAGUACUGCAUGGUACAGUGGUAAAAACUCCGGUGGUAUGAGAUGGACCCGCGUCUGAUUAGGUAGUUGGUGAGGUAACGGCCCACCGAGCCGACGAUCAGUAGCCGACCUGAGAGGGUGACCGGCCACAUUGGGACUGAGACACGGCCCAG